rnacentral:lncRNA from 1 species
CUCAAAGGGAUUCAUAAAAUAACAUUACCAUUCUACUCAAAAAAAGCAUACAAUUUAAGUAUGUAUUACUCAGUCCUUGAUUGAAUAGUUCUGGUCAUGUUAUUUUGGUUGAGAUAUAAUUUUUUACUCUCUAAACAAACUCAUUUCUGUUGGCAUUCUCAUAUCUGCUUGGGCCUGAACAAUCUCUAGGAUAGAACAUCUUAUCAGAAGACAGAUUUAUCAUUAUAAAUAACACACCUCAAGCCCUGUAAGAGCACAUAAGGGCAAUCAGGCUACAGUCUAAUGAACGCUAUAAUCAAAUGCUAUAAUCAUGAAAAGAAUGACAACACUGGGCCUAAAAUUAAAUCAUUCAGCUCCUUUAUCUUUCUUAGAAAGUCUUAAUUGGGCCAGAUUCUCC